rnacentral:rRNA from 1 species
GACGAACGCUGGCGGCGUGCUUAACACAUGCAAGUCGAACGGAAAGGCCCUGCUUUUGUGGGGUGCUCGAGUGGCGAACGGGUGAGUAACACGUGAGUAACCUGCCCUUGACUUUGGGAUAACUUCAGGAAACUGGGGCUAAUACCGGAUAGGAGCUCCUGCUGCAUGGUGGGGGUUGGAAAGUUUCGGCGGUUGGGGAUGGAUUAGCGGGUUAUCCGCUUGUUGGUGGGGUAGUGGCUUACCAAGGCUUUGACGGGUAGCCGGCCUGAGAGGGUGGACGGCCACAAGGGGACUGAGGUACGGACCAGAAGCCUACGGGACGCAGCAGUGGGGAGUAUUGCAGAAUGGGCGGAAGCCAGAUGCAGCAACGCCGCGAGCGGGAUAACGGCCUUCGGGUGGUGAACAGCUGUCUCCUGUGACGAAGCGUGAGUGACGGUAAUGGGUAAAGAAGCACCGGCUAACUACGUG